UUUUGAAAAAAUAAAAAGCAAAUAUUUAUUUACUUAUAUAAAUUUAUUAGUAACUCUUUCUAUUUUCUCUUUAUAUUUCCAACCUUACUGAACAAGCAACAAAAUACUCAAGAUUUUGACAUAGAACCAGAAAGCAGCUUCCUUCCUUCCUUACUCACUUCAGCAACAACAACAACAAUGGUUCUCGAGGCGACAAUGAUAUGCAUCGAUAACUCGGAAUGGAUGCGAAACGGCGAUUACGUACCUUCUCGUUUCCAAUCACAAGCCGAUGCUGUUAAUCUCAUCUCCGGCGCCAAAACUCAAUCGAAUCCAGAGAACACAGUAGGGAUUUUGACUAUGGCCGGUAAGGGAGUGCGUAUUUUGACCACUCCUACUACUGAUCUUGGCAAAAUAUUGGCUUGUAUGCACGAUGUUGAGAUGGGGGGUGAGAUAAACAUGGCAAAUGCAAUCCAGGUCGCUCAACUAGCCCUUAAGCAUCGCCAAAAUAAAAAUCAGCAGCAAAGAAUAAUUGUGUUUGCCGGAAGUCCUGUCAAAUAUGACAAAAAGAUGCUGGAGAUGAUAGGUAAGAAAUUGAAAAAGAAUAAUGUAUCUCUCGAUAUUGUUAAUUUUGGUGAAGAAGAAGAUGAAAAGCCGGAGAAGUUGGAGGCCCUCGUUUCUGCUGUCAACAACAAUGAUAGCAGCCAUAUAGUUCACAUACCUCCAGGUCCAAAUGCCAUAUCUGAUGUACUCAUCAGCACACCUGUAUUCAAUGGGGAUGGAGGAGGAAGUGGCUUUGCUGCUGCAGCUGCAGCAGCAGCAGCAGGUGGCGGUGAAUUCGAUUUUGGUGUAGAUCCUAAUCUAGAUCCUGAGCUUGCUCUUGCUCUUAGAGUUUCUAUGGAAGAGGAGAGGGCAAGGCAAGAAGCGGCUGCCAAGAGGGCAGCUGAGGAAUCUUCUACACAAGGAAAGGUAGAUGAACCAUCAUCCACUUCACAGGAUGCAACUAUGGUUGACAAUGCUAAUGAUAGGGCUGCCAAAGAAACUGGAAACAGUACUGCUCCGAUGGAUGAAGUGAACGCAUUGUUGCAGCAGGCUAUUGCACUGUCAAUGCAAACUCCUGGAUCUAAUCCCUCUGUGCGUGAUGUUGAUAUGACAGAAGCAAGUCAUGAGGACCAGGAAUUAGCUAUUGGGAAUGUUAGUUCUGAACCACCCGAACUGGGAGCUGAUGUGGUAUAAUUCUCCUCUCAUGCUCCAACUUGCUUAAGGUUAAAGCCAUGGAGUGUACACAAUCUUUGCUGAUGUCUGCAAGAUGGCUUAAAUGGUCAUAGGAUUUCUCGGCAAGGCUCCCCAUGUACCCGUAGUUGUCAGUACCCUGUUGGACUUGGAGAUCAUUAGAUAGAGCCACCAAUGCUCAAGUGCUGAGGUCUUAUUGUAGGGAGGGUUAAAUCAGGAUAUCGACACCUCCUAGGCCUGCAAUGGAGUUUGGAUGCACUAAUAAAUUGACCAUUUUUUAUGUAUUUGUUCUGGCUUUCUUGAGGGAGGAAAAUGUUCUUUCUUCUUGAGCUCUUGUGCUUGGUCAUAAUUUUUUCUUGCUGGAUUUUCUAGUGACGCUCACUGUAUCCUGGCCCAAGUCAUAUGAAAUUGAUAAUUACCACUGUAUAAGCCUGGCAUAGGUUAUUGCCAAACUUGGGCAGA